GCUAUACAUGCAGUCGAGCGGACAGAAGGGAGCUUGCUCCCGGAUGUUAGCGGCGGACGGGUGAGUAACACGUGGGUAACCUGCCUGUAAGACUGGGAUAACUCCGGGAAACCGGAGCUAAUACCGGAUAGUUCCUUGAACCGCAUGGUUCAAGGAUGAAAGACGGUUUCGGCUGUCACUUACAGAUGGACCCGCGGCGCAUUAGCUAGUUGGUGAGGUAACGGCUCACCAAGGCGACGAUGCGUAGCCGACCUGAGAGGGUGAUCGGCCACACUGGGACUGAGACACGGCCCAGACUCCUACGGGAGGCAGCAGUAGGGAAUCUUCCGCAAUGGACGAAAGUCUGACGGAGCAACGCCGCGUGAGUGAUGAAGGUUUUCGGAUCGUAAAGCUCUGUUGUUAGGGAAGAACAAGUGCAAGAGUAACUGCUUGCACCUUGACGGUACCUAACCAGAAAGCCACGGCUAACUACGUGCCAGCAGCCGCGGUAAUACGUAGGUGGCAAGCGUUGUCCGGAAUUAUUGGGCGUAAAGGGCUCGCAGGCGGUUUCUUAAGUCUGAUGUGAAAGCCCCCGGCUCAACCGGGGAGGGUCAUUGGAAACUGGGAAACUUGAGUGCAGAAGAGGAGAGUGGAAUUCCACGUGUAGCGGUGAAAUGCGUAGAGAUGUGGAGGAACACCAGUGGCGAAGGCGACUCUCUGGUCUGUAACUGACGCUGAGGAGCGAAAGCGUGGGGAGCGAACAGGAUUAGAUACCCUGGUAGUCCACGCCGUAAACGAUGAGUGCUAAGUG
rnacentral:rRNA from 1 species